rnacentral:rRNA from 1 species
GACAGAGGUGCCAAGCGUUAGGCGGAAUCACUGGGCUUAAAGCGUGUGUAGGCGGAUCGUUAAGUGCCUUGUGAAAUCCCAUGGCUUAACCAUGGAACUGCUCGGCAUACUGGCGGUCUUGAGCCAUCUAGGGGCUACCGGAACAAAUGGUGGAGCGGUGAAAUGCGUAGAUAUCGAGAGGAACACCUGCGGCGAAGGCGGGUUGCUGGGCUGACACUGACGCUGAUGCGCGAAAGCCAGGGGAGCGAACGGG